rnacentral:rRNA from 1 species
AGUGAACGCUGGCGGUAGGCCUAACACAUGCAAGUCGAACGGCAGCACAGUAAGAGCUUGCUCUUACGGGUGGCGAGUGGCGGACGGGUGAGGAAUACAUCGAAAUCUACUUUUUCGUGGGGGAUAACGUAGGGAAACUUACGCUAAUACCGCAUACGACCUACGGGUGAAAGCAGGGGAUCUUCGGACCUUGCGCGAUUGAAUGAGCCGAUGUCGGAUUAGCUAGUUGGCGGGGUAAAGGCCCACCAAGGCGACGAUCCGUAGCUGGUCUGAGAGGAUGAUCAGCCACACUGGAACUGAGACACGGUCCAGACUCCUACGGGAGGCAGCAGUGGGGAAUAUUGGACAAUGGGCGCAAGCCUGAUCCAGCCAUACCGCGUGGGUGAAGAAGGCCUUCGGGUUGUAAAGCCCUUUUGUUGGGAAAGAAAAGCAGCAGGUUAAUACCCCGCUGUUCUGGCGGUACCCAAAGAAUAGGCACCGGCUAACUUCGUG